UUGGAGACAAGCACUGAAAACGCGACCCAUCUCGGAGAAAAUGAAUGGACUUGGCGCUGGACCGGAAGAAAAGUCACCCACGGGAUGCGUAUUUCCGGUUUUUGUGAAAAAGUAAUUCAGUCUCUCAAGUAUCUCU